rnacentral:rRNA from 1 species
GAUGAACGCUGGCGGCGUGCCUAAUACAUGCAAGUCGAGCGAACGGACGAGAAGCUUGCUUCUCUGAUGUUAGCGGCGGACGGGUGAGUAACACGUGGAUAACCUACCUAUAAGACUGGGAUAACUUCGGGAAACCGUAGCUAAUACCGGAUAAUAUUUUGAACCGCAUGGUUCAAAAGUGAAAGACGGACUUGCUGUCACUUAUAGAUGGAUCCGCGCUGCAUUAGCUAGUUGGUAAGGUAACGGCUUACCAAGGCAACGAUGCAUAGCCGACCUGAGAGGGUGAUCGGCCACACUGGAACUGAGACACGGUCCAGACUCCUACGGGAGGCAGCAGUAGGGAAUCUUCCGCAAUGGGCGAAAGCCUGACGGAGCAAAGCCGCGUGAGUGAUGAAGGUCUUCGGAUCGUAAAACUCUGUUAUUAGGGAAGAACAUAUGUGUAAGUAACUGUGCACAUCUUGACGGUACCUAAUCAGAAAGCCACGGCUAACUACGUG